GCCCGGUUAGCUCAAUCGGUAGAGCGUGAGACUCUUAAUCUCAACGUUGCGGGUUCGACCCCCGCAUCGGGCU
rnacentral:tRNA from 1 species